GCGAACCCCACCAUCUUCCAGCGACGACGGGACCGCCAGACGGUCUGGUGAUCCCGCUGUCGCUGGAAGAUAGUAGGGGUUCGC
rnacentral:pre_miRNA from 1 species